rnacentral:rRNA from 1 species
CGGUACCUGAAGAAAAAGCAUCGGCUAACUCCGUGCCAGCAGCCGCGGUAAUACGGAGGAUGCAAGCGUUAUCCGGAAUCAUUGGGCGUAAAGGGUCCGCAGGUGGCCAAUCAAGUCGGCUGUUAAAGACCGGGGCUUAACUCCGGGCAGGCAGUGGAAACUGAUUAGCUAGAGUACGGUAGGGGUAGAGGGAAUUCCCAGUGUAGCGGUGAAAUGCGUAGAUAUUGGGAAGAACACCGGUGGCGAAAGCGCUCUACUAGGCCGAAACUGACACUGAGGGACGAAAGCUAGGGUAGCGAAAGGGAUUAGAUACCCCUGUAGUCUUAGCUGUAAACGAUGGAUACUAGGUGUAGCUCGUAUCGACCCCAGCUGUGCCAAAGUUAACGCGAUAAGUAUCCCGCCUGGGGAGUACGCACGCAAGUGUGAAACUCAAAGGAAUUGACGGGGGCCCGCACAAGCGGUGGAGUAUGUGGUUUAAUUCGAUGCAACGCGAAGAACCUUACCAGGGCUUGACAUGUCGCGAAUCUAGCGGAAACGUUAGAGUGCCUUAGGGAAUGCGAACACAGGUGGUGCAUGGCUGUCGUCAGCUCGUGUCGUGAGAUGUUGGGUUAAGUCCCGCAACGAGCGCAACCCUCGUCCUUAGUUGCCAAUAUUAAGUUAGGCACUCUAGGGAUACUGCCGGGGACAACUCGGAGGAAGGUGGGGAUGACGUCAAGUCAGCAUGCCCCUUACGUCCUGGGCGACACACGUACUACAAUGGUUGGGACAAAGGGCAGCAAGCUCGCGAGAGUAAGCGAAUCUCAUCAAACCCAGCCACAGUUCAGAUUGCAGGCUGCAACUCGCCUGCAUGAAGUAGGAAUCGCUAGUAAUCGCAGGUCAGCAUACUGCGGUGAAUUCGUUCCCGGGCCUUGUACACACCGCCCGUCACACCAUGGAAGCUGGCUACGCCCGAAGUCGUUACCCUAACCCUAAGGGGAGGGGGAUGCCGAAGGUAGAGCUAGCGACUGGGGUGAAGUCGUAACAAGGCAGCCGUACCUGAAGGUGUGGCUGGAUCACCUCCUUU